rnacentral:rRNA from 1 species
UGCCCCCGCCUGGGGAGUACGGCCGCAAGGCUAAAACUCAAAGGAAUUGAACGGGGGCCCGCACAAGCAGCGGAGCAUGUGGUUUAAUUUGACGCAACGCGAAGAACCUUACCUGGGCUUGACAUGUUCCUGACCGCCGUGGAAACACGUCUUCCCCUUCGGGGGCAGGAUCACAGGUGGUGCAUGGCUGUCGUCAGCUCGUGUCGUGAGAUGUUGGGUUAAGUCCCGCAACGAGCGCAACCCCCGUCGCAUGUUGCCAGCAUCUAGUUGGGGACUCAUGCGAGACUGCCGGUGACAAACCGGAGGAAGGUGGGGAUGACGUCAAGUCAUCAUGCCCCUUAUGUCCAGGGCUACACACGUGCUACAUUGGCGCGUACAGAGGGCUGCGAUACCGCGAGGUGGAGCGAAUCCCUUAAAGCGCGUCUCGGUUCGGAUUGCAGGCUGAAACUCGCCUGCAUGAAGGCGGAGUUGCUAGUAAUCGCGGAUCAGCACUGCCGCGGUGAAUACGUUCCCGGGCCUUGUACACACCGCCCGUCACACCAUGGGAGUGAGCAACACCCGAAGCCGGUGGCCUAACCCGCAAGGGAGGGAGCCGUCGAAGGUGGGGCUCGUGACUGGGGUGAAGUCGUAACAAGGUAGCCGUAAUCG